UACGGAGGGUGCGAGCGUUGUCCGGAAUCACUGGGCGUAAAGGGCGCGUAGGUGGCGCGACAAGUCAGUGGUGAAAGUUCGACGCUCAACGUCGAAUCGGCCACUGAUACUGUUGGGCUUGAGCACUGUAGAGGCUAAUGGAAUUCCGGGUGUAGCGGUGGAAUGCGUAGAGAUCCGGAAGAACACCGGUGGCGAAGGCGGGUCUCUGGGCCGUGACUGGACG
rnacentral:rRNA from 1 species